UACGGUGGAUGCCUUGGCGUCAGGGGCCGAGGAAGGACGUGGCAAGCUGCGAUAAGCCCCGGGGAGCCGCAAGCGGGCGUAGAUCCGGGGAUGUCCGAAUGGGGGAACCUGGCGGAGGCGAACCUCCGUCAUCCCGUGCUGAAUCCAUAGGCACGGGAGGGGCACCGGGGGAAGUGAAACAUCUCAGUACCCCGAGGAAGAGAAAGCAAGCGCGAACCCCUGAGUAGUGGCGAGCGAAAGGGGGCGAGCCCAAACCGGCCUCGUGUUAAAGGCGGCCACCGUUGCGGGGCCGGGGUUGCGGGACGAACGGGGGCGUUCUGGCCGGGGCGCCGCGGGAUAAGGCUCUUUAGGGGAAGCGUGCUGGAAAGCACCGCCGGAGAGGGUAACAGCCCCGUACUCGAAAGGGAGCCGAAGCCCGUGCCGUUUGGACCCGAGUACUGCGGGGCACGUGGAACCCCGUAGGAAGCAGGGGGGACCACCCUCCAAGGCUAAACACCCCUGACGACCGAUAGUGGACUAGUACCGUGAGGGAAAGGUGAAAAGCACCCCGGGAGGGGAGUGAAAGAGAACCUGAAACCGUACGCCUACAAGCAGUGGGAGCCCCAAAAGGGUGACCGCGUACUUUUUGUAGAACGGGCCGGCGAGUUACGCUUGCAGGCGAGGUUAAGCGGCGGGAGCCGCGGAGCCGGAGCGAAAGCGAGUCUGAAGAGGGCGCUUAGUCUGCGGGCGUAGACCCGAAGCCGGGUGAGCUACCCAUGGCCAGGGUGAAGCGGAACUAACCUUUCGUGGAGGCCCGCACCGACCGUCGUUGAAAAGGCGGCGGAUGAGCUGUGGGUAGGGGUGAAAUGCCAAUCGAACCCGGUUAUAGCUGGUUCUCCCCGAAAUGCAUUGAGGUGCAGCCUCACACGGUCCCGGAGGGGGGUAGAGCACUGAUUGGGCUAGGGGCCUUCCCGGGUUACCGAACCCAGUCAAACUCCGAAUCCCGUCCGGGUGGAGUGUGGGAGUGAGACCGUGGGGGAUAAGCUUCACGGUCGAGAGGGGAACAGCCCAGACCGCCAGCUAAGGUCCCGGAGCGCGGGCUAAGUGGGGAAGGAUGUGGGGUUGCGGAGACAACCAGGAUGUUGGCUUAGAAGCAGCCAUCAUUUAAAGAGUGCGUAAUAGCUCACUGGUCAAGUGACCCUGCGCCGAAAAUGUAACGGGGCUGAAGCCCGCCACCGAAGCUGCGGAUUGGCUGGAAGGCCGAUGGUAGGGGAGCGUUCCGUGCCGGCGGAAGUUCCGCCGGGAGGCGGGGUGGACGGCACGGAAGUGAGAAUGCCGGCAUAAGUAAGCGCAAAGGCAGGUGAGAAUCCUGCCCGCCGAAAGCCUAAGGUUUCCUGGGGAAGGCUCGUCCGCCCAGGGUUAGUCGGGACCUAAGCCGAGGCCGAAGGGCGUAGGCGAUGGGCAAGCGGUCAAAAUUCCGCUACCACCGGUAGUCGCCAAAGACCGAAGGGGGGACCCGGAAGGGUAGGUGGAGCGCGCGGCUGGAAAGGCGCGUCCAAGCUGGUAGGGUGCGGGGCAGGCAAAUCCGCCCCGCUGAAAGGCCCGAGAAGCGAUGGGGAGGGAAAUUUAGUACCGAAGCCACCGGACCCAGGCCGGCGAGAAAAGCCUCUAAGGGAGCUACCGGUGCCCGUACCGCAAACCGACACAGGUAGGCGGGGUGAGGAACCUCAGGCGCGCGAGAGAACCCUCGCUAAGGAACUCGGCAAAAUGACCCCGUAACUUCGGGAGAAGGGGUGCCCCGUUAGGGUGAAGGUCCUGGCGGCCGGAGCCCGAGGGGGUUGCAGAGAGCAGGCCCAGGCGACUGUUUACCAAAAACACAGGUCCCUGCGAAAGCGCAAGCUGAGGUAUAGGGGCUGACGCCUGCCCGGUGCUGGAAGGUUAAGGGGACGCGUUAGGGGGCGACUCCGAAGCGCCGAACCGAAGCCCCAGUAAACGGCGGCCGUAACUAUAACGGUCCUAAGGUAGCGAAAUUCCUUGUCGGGUAAGUUCCGACCCGCACGAAAGGCGUAACGACUUGGGCGCUGUCUCAGCGAGGGGCUCGGCGAACUUGUAGUACCAGUGAAGAUGCUGGUUACCCGCGACGGGACAGAAAGACCCCGUGGAGCUUUACUGCAGCCUGACAUUGGACUUUGGUACGGCAUGUACAGGAUAGGUGGGAGGCGGGGAAGCCGGGACGCCAGUUCCGGUGGAGCCGGCGGUGGGAUACCACCCUUGCGGUACUGGAGUUCUAACCCGCGGCCGUGAAUCCGGUUGGGGGACCGUGUCAGGUGGGCAGUUUGACUGGGGCGGUCGCCUCCCAAAGGGUAACGGAGGCGUCCAAAGGUACCCUCAGCGCGGUUGGAAAUCGCGCGGAGAGUGCAAAGGCAGAAGGGUGCUUGACUGUGAGACCGACGGGUCGAGCAGGGACGAAAGUCGGGCUUAGUGAUCCGGCGGUACCGAGUGGAAGGGCCGUCGCUCAACGGAUAAAAGCUACCCCGGGGAUAACAGGCUGAUCUCCCCCAAGAGUCCACAUCGACGGGGAGGUUUGGCACCUCGAUGUCGGCUCAUCGCAUCCUGGGGCUGGAGCAGGUCCCAAGGGUUGG
rnacentral:rRNA from 1 species